AGUGAACGCUGGCGGUAGGCCUAACACAUGCAAGUCGAACGGCAGCGCAGUAAGAGCUUGCUCUUACGGGUGGCGAGUGGCGGACGGGUGAGGAAUACAUCGGAAUCUACUUUUUCGUGGGGGAUAACGUAGGGAAACUUACGCUAAUACCGCAUACGACCUACGGGUGAAAGCAGGGGAUCUUCGGACCUUGCGCGAUUGAAUGAGCCGAUGUCGGAUUAGCUAGUUGGCGGGGUAAAGGCCCACCAAGGCGACGAUCCGUAGCUGGUCUGAGAGGAUGAUCAGCCACACUGGAACUGAGACACGGUCCAGACUCCUACGGGAGGCAGCAGUGGGGAAUAUUGGACAAUGGGCGCAAGCCUGAUCCAGCCAUACCGCGUGGGUGAAGAAGGCCUUCGGGUUGUAAAGCCCUUUUGUUGGGAAAGAAAAGCAGCAGGUUAAUACCCCGCUGUUCUGACGGUACCCAAAGAACAAGCACCGGCUAACUUCGU
rnacentral:rRNA from 1 species